GAUGAAGAACGCAGCGAAAUGCGAUACGUAGUGUGAAUUGCAGAAUCCAGUGAAUCAUCGAAUCUUUGAACGCACAUUGCGCCCCUUGGUAUUCCGAGGGGCAUGCCUGUUCGAGCGUCAUUAUAACCCCUCAAGCUCAGCUUGGUGUUGGGGCCUGCUGCACUGGCAGCCCUUAAAAUCAGUGGCGGCGCCAUCUGGCUCUAAGCGUAGUAAUUCUUCUCGCUAUGGAGUCCUGGUGGAUGCUUGCCAUCAACCCCCAAUUUUUCUAUGGUUGACCUCGGAUCAGGUAGGGAUACCCGCUGAACUUAAGCAUAUCAAUAAGCGGAGGA
rnacentral:misc_RNA from 1 species